GGCUAGUGUCCCUGCAGAGAGGGAGGAGAUCUUCCUCACAACCAGUGUCCCUGUGAAGAAUGGACACAAUCAUCCACAACCACCUCCCAUCAUCCCCAUGGUGGCACCACUGUGGAAAUGGGAUGGUGGAGCGUGUACUCCACCUGUGGAUUUCUAUUCCAAGAGAAGAGAUUGUCUGGGAUCCAACUCUGCACAGAUGGGUUAACAAAACUGAGCCCAAGGCUGAGAACAAGUGUGUACCACCACCUCCACCGAUGGGGACAUAUGGAUAUCAGGGGAACACUGGC